rnacentral:rRNA from 1 species
UUCCGGUUGAUCCUGCCGGACCUGACUACUAUCGGAUUGAUACUAAGCCAUGCGAGUCAUUGUAGCAAUACAAGGCAUACGGCUCAGUAACGCGUAGUCAACCUAACCUAUGGACGGGAAUAACCUCGGGAAACUGAGAAUAAUGCCCGAUAGAACAUUAUACCUGGAAUGGUUUAUGUUCCAAAUGAUUUAUCGCCGUAGGAUGGGACUGCGGCCUAUCAGUUUGUUGGUGAGGUAAUGGCCCACCAAGACUAUUACAGGUACGGGCUCUGAGAGGAGUAGCCCGGAGAUGGGUACUGAGACACGGACCCAGGCCCUAUGGGGCGCAGCAGGCGAGAAAACUUUGCAAUGUGCGAAAGCACGACAAGGUUAAUCCGAGUGAUUUCUGCUAAAGAAAUCUUUUGUUAGUCUUAGAAACACUAACGAAUAAGGGGUGGGCAAGUUCUGGUGUCAGCCGCCGCGGUAAAACCAGCACCUCAAGUGGUCAGGAUGAUUAUUGGGCCUAAAGCAUCCGUAGCCGGCUCUGUAAGUUUUCGGUUAAAUCUGUACGCUCAACGUACAGGCUGCCGGGAAUACUGCAUAGCUAGGGAGUGGGAGAAGUAGACGGUACUCGGUAGGAAGUGGUAAAAUGCUUUGAUCUAUCGAUGACCACCUGUGGCGAAGGCGGUCUACUAGAACACGUCCGACGGUGAGGGAUGAAAGCUGGGGGAGCAAACCGGAUUAGAUACCCGGGUAGUCCCAGCUGUAAACUAUGCAAACUCAGUGAUGCAUUGGCUUGUGGCCAAUGCAGUGCUGCAGGGAAGCCGUUAAGUUUGCCGCCUGAGAAGUACGUACGCAAGUAUGAAACUUAAAGGAAUUGGCGGGGGAGCACCACAAGGGGUGAAGCCUGCGGCUCAAUUGGAAUCAACGCCGGA